UCCAGCCCCUCCAGGGCUCUCUGGCUGGGAGGGCCCAGAACUGGACACAGCCCUCGGGGUCCCUCAGCAGGGCCAGCCCAGGGGACGGGCCCUGCCCUGGGCCUGUGGCCACCCCAUGGCUGGCACAGCCCAGGGGCCAUUGGCCUCGUGCCCCCCUGGGCACCCCCGGGCUCCUGUCCAGCCCUGGCACAGCCCUCAGGGCCUUUCCCGACGGGCCCUUUCCAGCCCCUCUGCCCAGCCUGGAGCUGCAGGGCCUGGGGUGACCCCAGGGCAGGACCUGGCACUUGCUGAACCUCAGCCCAUGGAUCCAGCCUGUCCUGAUCCCUCUGCAGAGCUUCCUGCCCUCCAGCCAGCCUGGUGCUGUAUGUGAAGUUACUGAGGGCACCCUUGGUAACUCUCACACUGAAGUCUGUCCCCUGCACUCACUCUGGUUUUGGCUCUUUUAUAUUGCGCAGUUUUUAUGCUGCCCAGGCAGUGUGGCUUGCAAACAAAACAUAUCAUCCAUUUGUACUUUUGGAAAGGUUUUGUCCCACCCAAAGCCAGGCUGAGGCUGGUAGCAAACACAGCUUUGCAGAGGAAAUAUGUUGUUGUGCUUCCAGCUCUGCCAAGGGCUCAGCUGAUCCUGUGUUUCAGAGCACAGAUUCCAGUAAUGGGAAUGAAGCAGCAGUCAGUCAUCGGGCUCUCUCUUUUAGCAGUGUUAGCAAUUACACCACAAAAAGCAGUUGAACAGAAAGAGGCAUUCAGCUGGGGCUAGCUGAGUCUCAAUCUUUUGUCUGGAAAAUCCUUAACAUCCCCAUUGAGGACUGGAGUAACAAAUUAAAAACUUUUGUCUGCUUGCCCCUCCAAAUCAGCGCAUGGUUGGAAUGGGCUGUGCAACAGUGCUUGGGGCAUGGAUCUGGACACAGCAGGGGUGAAGAAAGGGUGCUGCCAUGUCCUGCUUUGGGAAUGACUUUGAGUCCUGUGCUGAAUGCAGAAAGCUAUGAAAAACAUCUUAUUUUCUUUAUGUGUGCAUGGAGAAUCCACUCAAACUCAAAAUUAAACAAUAAAUGGGAUGUUUUACCCCUCUUCAGGA